UCGCACUUUCCACAUGUGGGUUUUUAUUUCUAGUCCUUCACAUUGACCAUAGAAUCGCCUGUGGCUUCCAAACCUGUCGUAAGCAGUUUGUUGUUGCUCUUCUGUAUGUGAUUAAGUGGAUUUACCUUUUGUAUACUCAUAGCUACCAUCUCUGUUUAUCGUUCAUUUAGGGUCCUUAGACAAGGUGCAAGACAAACAGAAGAGGGCAUGUGGGGUCAAACUCGCUAGCUGCCUGCCUGAUUUUUCUGCACACAGGUGAGAUAUUCCUGCACAUCCUCUGGUGACCCCAGAAUGAGGGGGACUCGCUGGUGAAUUGCCUCGGGCUUCACGUCCAGUACAGGCUGGGUCCCCGUGGUCGCCAAGCCUCCUGCCUGCUCAAUGAUGUAGGCCACGGGAUUGCAUUCAUACAGGAGCCGGAGCUGUGGAGGAACAGAGGCAGGACAAAUUCACCAAGAGCCUAGCAACAUGAAGAGAGAUGCCAGGAAGAAGAGAGAAGCCAGGAAACAAGCCAACCGCACAAUCCCCACAUCAGAGCAGGAGAAGAUGGGGGCCUGCUGGCAGAGCUGGGGCUUGGCUGUGGUCACUCUGAACCUGCUCUUUGGUGUUUUCAUGAGUGGUGGGAAGAAUAGGGACCAUAUGGAGCCCACACAGGAAGCUCUAGCAGUAACACAGCAAGCAGGAAGACAAUUCUAAGGAAGCAGCCCAUAGUCUUCUUUCUUUUCCUGUGCAUCUUCCACUGUCAGUGAGGCUCCUCAUUUAUGGUGAACCCAACUGUGUGUAUCUCCCAAGUUCUCACCCGCAGAUUAAUGUUUUCAGGAAGAUAGGCCAUCAACAGUGAGAGGAAGAAGUUACAUUGUCGUAUGAGGGAUGCAUUUUAACCAUUAAUUUGUGGUACAGGCUGGGCGCAGUGGCUUAUGCAUGUAAUCCCAGCACUUUGGGAGGCCGAGGUGGGUGGAUCACGAGGUCAGGAGAUCGAGACCAUCCUGGCUAACAUGGUGAAACCCCGUCUUUACUAAAUAUACAAAAAAUUGGCCGGGCGUGGUGGUGGGCACCUGUAGUCCCAGCUACUCGGGGGGCUGA
rnacentral:lncRNA from 1 species